CAAGCAUAAUAGACCUAAGGUCUAUGGCAAGUUCAGUAUGGCAAGUCUAUGGCAAGCACAGCAACAAAUUAAUUUCCAAAAUAUGGAGGAACUUUAUAGAGCUCGUAUCUUUUUCACUUCAACAAGAAAAAUUUAAGUGCUAGCUACAAUUCCAGUUCAGUGGCCCGAACACUCAUUCACUUAUCUUUGGAAAGGAACUUCAUGAACAAUUCAUUCACUUUAUUACCAUCAAUAUUCAAAUAGCCGCUAUUGUUGUUAAAACAAAACAGCAAGAUGACAUUUUCAUUUGACCCAGCGAGCAAAGCUCAGAACAUCAUAUGAAGAAAUCUUGCAAAAUCUCCAAAAACCAGAUUUAAGGUCGCCGCAAUCCAACACUGAAACUCAACAACAAAGAAUUUUUUCAAUAUUUUCCAUGAACUGAUUUCGAUACGAAAACGAUUAAAGCUGAUCAUUUUUCAAAAAUACCUGAACCUUAACCAAGAUCAAGUGAGG